CGGGACACGGGUUAGCCCACCUCGGUGCCGCCCCACAGGUAUCAACCGGCAGCGUUGUGUUACUCUGGUUUACAAUGGGAUUCUCUGAAGAAAAACAAACAAAACAACCCACCACACACCUGCAGCAAAAGGACACUUCAUGCAGCAGCUGGGGACAAACUGACGGCACAGCACCAUGCCGAGGUUGCCAGACAAGUUCUGGUAUCUUAACUACUCUGGCUUGUUUGGUCUACAGCAAAGCUGAAUUCCCAAGUUCAGUGUAGUCAACAAUGGCUACUUUCAUUUAUUGGGCAAACAUUUCACCAGCUGGGGUGGUCACUGAAGGGUUAACAGCAGUUUGCCAAUGGUGGCUUGAUUCCCAUUUUCAAAAUUUUAGAGAAUUUUAUAGAACUAUGCGUUUACAGAUGUUCUUAACCCGUUCUUCAGACCUGUUACCUUUUUGGUGUCCAUUUCUGAUAUUGAUGCGUAGGUAUCAUUUCCUUAGUCAUGUAUUUCAGGGUACUGAUCUUUCUAUAGGAUAAGUGAGUGGAAAAGUUGGAAACAAUCUGUGAACUGCAUUUGUUCUGUGUAUAAAGAGACAAAUAGAGAAAAUAAAAUAUUGCAACUGAAACAUACCUGCUCUAUAUUUUUCCUCCAGAAUGAAGGUUAAUACCAUUUGAAGUAUCUAUAUUACAUUAACUAGAUAUCUAGAUUAUUGUCACUUCAAGAACUCCCUCUGGAGUUUGGCAGCUCCUCCAAAAUAGUUCUCUGCUAACAGAUCUGUGGAAGUGGUUUAUCAGGUAAGAGUACUAUUUAAACAUUUCAUAAAAUCCCCCCAGUUUGGCAUUGGAAAACAUUAAUUUAGGGGUUUCUACUCCUUUAGUGAAGAGAAAAAAGGAUUAGGAGAAAGCACUUAGAAAGAACCACAAAUGGGUGCCAAACAAGGCAAACAAAUGAGAAAGAUGGGGAAGUAUUGCAAAUCCAGGGAAUAUUUUUCACUGAUUUUAUGGAAAUAUGGACCCAGAUGCUUUCAGUCGUGAGUGCCUGUCCUACAAAGUUCUCACCUUCCUUGUAAGCUUGGAAUACCUUUGUCCUGCUAUGUGCUUUGUGUUGCCUUUACAAAUAUCCUUCAGCUCCUGCCUCUUCCGUAACCAUAUUGCAGUUCACUAAGCCCAGUAUGAAUCACUCUGUUUUCAUCCUCAAAUAAUUUGUACGUGCUUCUUGGAAGAACAAAAAUGUUUUACAACACUUCCAUGACAGAGAGCUUUUAUUUUUCUCAUGACUACAUCCUGAACUCUGAAAGAGUUUCCCGAGUCUCAACUGCACUUCUUCGCCCACUAAGAUUUUCAAGAUAUCAGCUCCUAAAUUUUGCAAUGGUUCUAAUGGAAGACAUGAGGAUGUGAUACCAUUAAGAUCACUCAAGUGUAGCCAUUUGUUUAAUAUUGGAAGACUUCCUGUAUUAUUAGUAAAUAUUUUUUCAGGCUUAUUUCCUUACCAUUUCCCAUUCUUAUUGAGGGUUGACAAACUAUUCUUGAAAUUGAUUAUGGAAUGCUUUCAAUGGACCUUACUUGAGUGAAUUACUUAAAACCAGCCAUUACCCUGACAUGUUAAUUAAGUUCCUACCAAUGACUAUUAGCCUCUUGAAAAAAAUUCUUUGGUCUAAAAAUAUGAAAUGGAUCUUGAUGCAAGAAUCUUCCCUUAACCUCAUAGUAAAUGCAAAUGUAUUUCAAAUAGGUUAUCCUACAGUUAGAAAAAAAAAGUCAUUCAUCUAGACAGAUACCUUAAUGAAGGCAAUGUCUUCCUGUAAGAACUUAGUCAUGAGUUAAAAUGUUAUGAUGUAUACAAAAACACAGUCUAUAAAUGCUUUUAGCUUAUUUCUCUGUCCUUAAAAAUUAAUAUUCAAAUCAUAAUCAGUUUCUCAAAUCAGCCCACUCUUGUUAAACUGAAUCUGUUCCAUGCAUUAAUUCUAAUUUACGUAGGUAUUUGGUAGCUCUCACUUGCAUUUCUUCCUACUCAUUUUGUAUCAUAGUCCAACUCCUUUACUUUUUCUGGAAAUAUGUUUAUCACGAUCAGAAAACAAUAUGUAAUUUGUUUUUCUUCACUUUUCUUCAUAAUAUGCAAAGAAAUCUGUAGUAUCUCCUUGAGGACAUCUGUGACUGGAGUGGAUUAAAAUUACUUAUCUAUGAUGGAGUCAGAAGUGGUAUUUUCUUAAGGACUGCUGUGGCACGUGUAACAGGUACACCAUGUAUGCAAGUGCCCCCUUUGUUUGUCACAGGAGGCUGUCAGUAGGUAUGGCCCAGCUGAUGGUUCUGCUAUAAGGGGGUUGUUCCUGCUUGGCUUCACACAUGCCUACAGCCAUUAUUUCAAAUAAUGAAAUGUAAUGGGUGAGUUAAGGGAGUUAGAUUAUUGUUUAACUGUUAUAAUGGAAUCAGAGCUAGAAACCUCAGGGUAACUGUCCUUGGAAGAGCCAACAAAAGAAGCAGAAAUUCAAAUUUGGAAAAUCCAAACCAUGAAAUGGAGCUACAUCCAUUUCAGCAUGUAAACAAUAAGCAUGUGGGAUGCCUAUACCCCAGCCCUGCAUACACACACAGCUAAAAGCCUUUCUUUCCUUCCCAGGUUUAUAAAACACUGAAGACAUUCCUUGUUAUCCCAUGUGCAACAGGUGAGAAAAGCAGUGCAGAGCUGCUCAGCACAGCAGCCACUUGGGAUGUGAGCAGCCUGCUCGUUUGCAGUGUCAGUCCCAGGCAGGUGUGAGUUGAACAUUCUUUGCUGUCCUGUGUAACUUCUACCCAGUGCAGAGAACACUGCUGCUCCGUGUUAUUUGCUGGAUAUUUUGGAUGUGAUUCCAAUAGCUUUAGGAGGUUCAACAGUUUUGCAGGAACAUCUUCAAAGCUGCCCUGAAUGUCCAGAAAAGCAACAGGUAGAAAACAGGUAUGCAUGUGUAAGUCCAUGGGACCUGAUAAGAUGCCCCAAGAGCCUUGAAGAAAUUGGCUGAUGUGGUUGCCAAGCCACUCUCAAGGACAUUGGAAAAAUCACAGCAGCCAGUCUCAUGCUGAAAAACCUCUGGGGAUGGUGGUGAAUGAGAGCUGUUUGUUUGGGAAACAGCAAAAUUGAAAAAUAGGCCUGCAGAAGCUCUUUUCUAUGACCUAACAUGAGUUUGGAGGAACCCAGAUGAGGUGCCUUUCCUAGUCACAUGCAAAAUCACUCUGGCUUUUAACAGAAAGUCUCAAAUGAAGAAGUGAAAGGCAGUGAAUAAUGACAGACAAUAAAUAAACAAACAGGACAACCUGGAAUAAUCAUUAUUUGUCCUGAAGAGAAUGAAAGUUUCAUCAACUUUGAAUUAAAAUUGGAAAGUAAAUUUCAAUGCAAAGGAGGAGUUAGUUCUAAUACAGUAUAAUUUUAUUCUUUGAAAGCCUCAAGCCAACCCAAGCUUGGUCUCCUCCACAGAGCCUAACCCACUGGCAGAACUAUUGCAGAAUUCAGUUCACAGUUCUCUC